rnacentral:rRNA from 1 species
UACGGAGGGAGCUAGCGUUGUCCGGAAUUAUUGGGCGUAAAGAGCUCGUAGGCGGUCUGUCACGUCGGCUGUGAAAAACCCGAGGCUCAACCUCGGGCCUGCAGUCGAUACGAGCAAACUAGAGUGUUGCAGGGGAGACUGGAAUUCUGGUGUAGCGGUGAAAUGCGCAGAUAUCAGGAGGAACACCGGUGGCGAAGGCGGGUCUCUGGGCAAACAACUGACGCUGGAGGAGCGAAAGCGUGGGGAGCGAACAGG